rnacentral:rRNA from 1 species
AUUGAACGCUGGCGGCAUGCCUUACACAUGCAAGUCGAACGGUAACAGGUUAAGCUGACGAGUGGCGAACGGGUGAGUAAUAUAUCGGAACGUGCCCAGUAGUGGGGGAUAGCCCGGCGAAAGCCGGAUUAAUACCGCAUACGACCUACGGGUGAAAGGGGGGGAUCGCAAGACCUCUCGCUAUUGGAGCGGCCGAUAUCAGAUUAGGUAGUUGGUGGGAUAAAGGCCUACCAAGCCUGCGAUCUGUAGUUGGUCUGAGAGGACGACCAGCCACACUGGGACUGAGACACGGCCCAGACUCCUACGGGGGGCAGCAGUGGGGAAUUUUGGACAAUGGGCGCAAGCCUGAUCCAGCAAUGCCGCGUGCAGGAAGAAGGCCUUCGGGUUGUAAACUGCUUUUGUCAGGGAAGAAAUCCUCUGGGUUAAUACCUCGGGGGGAUGACGGUACCUGAAGAAUAAGCACCGGCUAACUACGUGCCAGCCGCCGCAGUAAAAC